CCUACGGGAGGCAGCAGUGGGGAAUAUUGGACAAUGGGGGGAACCCUGAUCCAGCCAUGCCGCGGGUGUGAAGAAGGCCCUCGGGUUGUAAAGCACUUUCAGUGAGGAAGAACGCCUGGUGGUUAAUACCCAUCAGGAAAGACAUCACUCACAGAAGAAGCACCGGCUAACUCCGUGCCAGCAGCCGCGGUAAUACGGAGGGUGCGAGCGUUAAUCGGAAUUACUGGGCGUAAAGCGCGCGUAGGUGGCUUGAUAAGCCGGUUGUGAAAGCCCCGGGCUCAACCUGGGAACGGCAUCCGGAACUGUCAAGCUAGAGUGCAGGAGAGGAAGGUAGAAUUCCCGGUGUAGCGGUGAAAUGCGUAGAGAUCGGGAGGAAUACCAGUGGCGAAGGCGGCCUUCUGGACUGACACUGACACUGAGGUGCGAAAGCGUGGGUAGCAAACAGGAUUAGAUACCCUAGUAGUC
rnacentral:rRNA from 1 species